UCUGAGCAGGACUUAUGUCUGCACCGGUCUCCACCCAGGCUCCAGAGUCUGGAAGGACAAAGGCACUUUGAGUUGCUUGCUGAGUGGACCCAUAACUAAGAUUUCUGCGGUCAUAGACUGUCCAUACGCCUGUGUCCUGCGUCCUGCAGCCUGUCCCCAUUGUAAAUUCUGCUGCCACGUCCAGAGACCACGAACUCACACGGACAUCUAGUAGAUCGGGAGUCUCAGGCCCCUGUAUCACCGUGAGCGGCUUCUCCUCCACCAGGCCCCUCUGCCAGGGCACCCCGCCUUGGAACCUCCUGACCAUGGGCUGAAACCUCUAUGGACUGUGAGCUAAGAUGAACCUCUCCUCUUUAAACUGUGUGCGUCGUGUAUUUUGUCCCAUCUAUGAACAAAGUGAAUAAAAUACAGUUUGGAUUCUC